GGUGACAGAGCAAGACUCUAUCUCAAAAAAAAAAAAAAAAGAAGAAAGAUGUCUGAGAUCCAUUUGAUAUUGAAUGCCACUUUGUAAAUAUCACAAGGCUUGUUCAAAAAAGCCCGAGUUCUUGCCUAAAUUAUUCAUGUAAUCUUGGGCAAAGUGUUUAAGUCCUCAGGGUUAUUUUGCUCAUUUGCAACAUGAGGAAGGCAUGACUAGAUGAUCUCCGAGAACACUGGACAAGAUGUCUUGCAGCAUUAUAAUGUUAUGAUUACUACUGGGAGAGCCCUAAAGCCAUGGAGAUAGGAAAUUUCAUCUUGUGCUAAAUGCCACGACCCAAGCAGGAAUUUGUACUAAUUCACACCACAGUUAGUUUAUGUUUUAAAUGUGUAAGUUCAACUAAGUUUCUAUGAAAAAACCAUAGAAAGUAAUGACCACAAUGUUUUUCUGCUAUAACCAAUCCACUGGACAUGAGUCACAGGCGUUGGUGGAGGUUUUGAGUGAUGAAAAAUGAACCAGAAAAUGGAGCUGAAUCAGAGGGUGGGAAAAAUAUAAGAGGCUUCCACGAUGGAAGUGAGGGGAUAGUAAGCCUUCCUAAGGACUAAUUUAAAUAUCUCAGGAGGGGAAGUUGGAAAUGUCACUAGAGCCCUGUCUCCAUCAAUUGCUGCAAUAAUCAAAUCCUUUGGAUGGGAGGGAAUACAGAGGGCACCCUCAAAAGUUAGUGGUCCUAAGUCCUCCAACUUAUUUUCAUAUCUUUGGAUUCAUAAAUUCACAGAGGUUGCAGAGGAGAAAAACUUCCCUUAAGUAAUCUUAACAGAAAUUCUCCAAAGCCCCCUUUUACUUCUCCUUCAACUCAAAGUACCCAUCCAUUCCUCCCAAAUAACCUUAUCUACAGAAACUAAUACAUAUUGUCCUUUUUGUCUGACCUUGAACCUUCCCUUAUCUACUCUUGGCUAGGAGCUUUUUGGCAAGAGGCGGAUGAGGAGGAGUUUGGCCUCCCUUGUUUAAAUCCUUUGUUCUUCUGUCACGGAAGUCAGGCCUGCUCCAUUCAUCACAGGUUUGACCACUCAACAUUUGACACCACAAUGAUAAAUAGAAAUGCUAACACCAUUCAAACUUUCCCUACAUGCUAGUCACUGUACUAAGUGCUUUAUAUGUAUUGUUACUUUUAAUCCACAUUAUACUCUUGUGAAGUGGUAGUGAAGAUCCAUGUCCCUGAAGAUCUCAUUAGCAAUGUGGGCUUUCUCAUGUCCCUGUGGCUCCGUGGAUGUUCCCAAGCUUACUGGUUUUGGAGUCUUGCACAGCCUCCUUAACGUGAAGACAAUGAGGAUGAAGACUUUUAUGAUGAGCCACUUCCACUAAACGAAUAGCUGGAGUGCAGUGGUGCCCAGGCUGGAGUG
rnacentral:lncRNA from 1 species